GAACAAAUUCAUAAUAAGGUGGGGGGGGGGCCUGGGGGGUCCCCUGGGACCCCCCAUCAUGGGUAACCCUUUCCAACAAGGGACCCAUUCCUGUUCAGGUCGUGGUUCUGAAAAUUGCCAGAACCUGGGCGAAUAUAUCUUGGUCUUCCUGGGCCUCAUCAUCUUCAUCAACAUUGGACUCAAUGUGGUGACUCUGCUCCGGUGCCGCCUUAGGGGCUCUUUCAACCAAAUAUUCCAUAAUUUUUUUCAGGAAGAUAACAUGCUCAAGCUGGCCCCAGUUGUUCCUAAGAAACUGCUCAUCCACACGCCUCCAGCACUGAAGCAGACAUGGAGACCUGCCUAUCGGGAACCCCCUGUCUAUAGAAACUCUCCUGUGUGUCAGAAUCCUGCUGUCUGUUGGAAAUCUCCUAUCUGUCGGAACCAUUCUGUCUUUCCUAAUUCUGCUGCCCGUUGGAAUCCUGCAGUUUGUCAGAACCUUGCUCUCUCUGACCACUGCUCUAUGGACACUUUGACUCUUGACGUGACCCCUCCAGGCUCUUGCUUUCAACACUCAGUUUUCUCAUCAGAACCUAAACAGUGUCUAGAUGCCAAGCUUCCCAUUGGAGAUGACAAAGUUUCCCAUUCUCCAACGCCUCAGGCACAAUGGGAAGAGUUAUCAACUUGUCCCCCAUCUCCUGCGACCCAUUUCCAACAAUACUUGGGAAGACCAGCCAAGAGGGUGGAAGCAAAGUCCAGGAUGGAGCUGAAAGCUUAUGUGUACCCCAGUAAGCCUUCAUCACAUAAUGCUGACUCCCAGAGCUGCAGAGAGAAUACAGAAUCAGGCACGUAUGGAUAUUUCUCCCAGCUCUUCCACCAGGUUACAGUUAAACCUCUAAGUUACAAUUCUGUGCCCUCCACAAGCCAUGUGAUGUACAAUAGCUGGGAAAAGAAGAGAGUUUCUUCCUGACAGUAUGAUGGAAGUACAUCAGAUCUGAGGAGGAGAAGAAUAAAGAAAUAAUUAGUAUGGGGCAUCGCCAUUAAAAGAAGAUAUUCUGGAUAAAGAGAACUUUGAGAAUCAAACCUGAACUAAUAAAAUGCCAGCAUCAUACCUGCCCCUAACAUUUGCAAUAGCUGGUAAUUUGGACAAGAGGAGAUGGACUCAUGGUUGAAUUGGAGAAGAAUGCUGCAAAUACAGCUAAGAGGACCCCAAGCUCUAUAUCCAAGGUUUGACCUCUUUCCCACCAAAUAACAGUUCUACGGUGAACAUAUAUAGUGACUAGUAAAGAAGCCCGUUUAUCCAAAUCCUAGCAGAACAUAAAUCAGAGAAAGGUAUACAUAGAAGAAUGUGUACCAAACAAUAUAGAAUAAAGAAACUUUCCCAUUGGGAUCAGGAUAACUAGCUUAAUAAAGAUAUCUUGAUCAA